rfam:Lyngbya confervoides BDT141951 scaffold_0, whole genome shotgun sequence.
GCGAGCGUAGCCAAGGGGUUAAGGCAGCGGAUUGUGGUUCCGCCACUCGGGGGUUCGAAUCCCCUCGUUCGCC